rnacentral:miRNA from 14 species
CAGUUUGUGGAAAUACUUAAC